CACAGUUGAACGAGGAAGUCCACCUCUCAAAGACAGACGUCUGUUUGUUAUCUAUGAGGAAAAAAACACAUCUCACUACAAAUGAAAAUAUGAACAGGCCUCUUUAUGAUAUUGAAUGCUAGAGAGAACGAGCAGAGGAGAUAAGAUGAGAGAUUGAAUCACUGCCUUUGUUAGUGGCUUUGUGUGGCUCUGAUCUACAUCUUCCAUCAGCGCUCUUUCCAAUGAAAAGACAAGCUCUGACUAACAGAUGGCAGAAUAUUGACGUCCUGGUGUCGCGUAUUGCAGCCACGACACAGGCCAAUGCGGACCACAGGUAUGUCAACUCAAUUUACACCUAAUCUGGUUUGUGCUAAAAAUAAAAAUGGUCAAACAGAUUUAGGUUUUGGGGAUUUUUAUUUUGCGUCAUUGCUGUAAGUUGACGUGAUCCCUCCUUGAGAUCCAAUGACCAUAAAGUUGUUUUAUUUGGGGUUUGAAACAUCUGUCUCUGCCAAAAGAAACAUGAUUUAUUAUCAAUCACAGGUUGGUGGCACCUCAUUGGGGAAAACAGGCUCGUGGUAAUGACUGGACCGGAAUCAGUGGAGUGGUAUGAAAUACAUCAAACACAUGGUUUCCAUGGUUUCCAGGUGUUUGAUGCCAUUCCAUUGUCUCCGUUCCGGCCAUUAUUAUGAGCAGUUCUCCCCUUAGCAGCCUCCACUGUGUCAUGACGUUGGCCUCUUUGAGUACAGGGAGGACAGUUGACCCCAUCCCCCCCUUUGCACCAUCCCCCAACCUACCUCCCCCACCCAGUCCCUGUGUGAAGGAGUGGUAAAAUUCCAGGAGAGUCUCUGGCCACAUGGCCCAUAGAGAGACACAGGAAAUUCUUCCAACUCACAGAAUUGGGGAGCCAAGCGACAUUUGUGUUCUGGAGAAGGUAUGGAAGAUUGGUGAAAAAUCCAGCUACGAACUGGUCCACUUGGUACAAUUUUGUGAUACUCAGAAGAGACAAUAUAGCCAUAUUACCAUAAAACUGUUUAUAUAAUAGCCUCAGCUUGAGACUUGCAUCCACAUGGUUGUAUAGAAUGUAUUAAUAAGGAUAAAGCUAUUUGUAAUACAUUGAGAUGCUAUGUACUGAUGUUAAUGUGAUAAAAUUGUAUUUUUGUACCAAGCUUAACUCAGUCAUCGGCACGCCCCCAGGGACACAGACAGGACCAGGCGUCAUUUGACAAGCCUGUUCUAUGUCUCAGCCUCCAGUAUUUAUGCUGCAGUAGUUUAUGUGUCGGGGGGCUAGG
rnacentral:lncRNA from 1 species